rnacentral:lncRNA from 1 species
AACAAAUGAGGAAGCAGAGUGAGGUUUGCAGAUAUACGUAAAAGAUCAGAAAAAAAGGCAAGAACAAGAACCAGUUGAGAGACAGACAUGAGAGAAAGAAAACAGGAGGGUAUGAGAGUCAGCACCAUGGACAGCGUCCUGUGAGGCCUUUCAUUAAGCGAAAGAAAGCAGGGAAGAAAGGCGGAAAGGAGAAUUCCUCCCAGUUCCAGAAGCCAAUGAAGAAAGGUUCGUGCAAGGAGUGAGUCCCAUUUGCAGCCUCAGAUGAGCCAGUGAGGCAGAAAAUGUAGAUAAUAAAGAGAGUUAAUGACAGGCC